UAGACAAAUUUUUGUAUUCGACUGUAUUCACGGCAUGAAACAGGGGAUUACAACUGUUUUUAAGCGGAAAGUGAAUCAAUUAACAUAAUAGAUUCCU
rfam:Nicotiana attenuata strain TT chromosome 1, whole genome shotgun sequence.